CGGGUGAGUAACACGUAAGUAAUCUACCUUCGAGUGGGAAUAACGUCGGGAAACCGACGCUAAUACCGCAUAAUGCAGCGGCACCUAAUGGUGACAGUUGUUAAAGGAGCAAUUCGCUUGAAGAGGAGCUUGCGGCAGAUUAGCUAGUUGGUAAGGUAACGGCUUACCAAGGCUACGAUCUGUAACCGGUCUAAGAGGACGGUCGGUCACACUGACACUGAAUAACGGGUCAG
rnacentral:rRNA from 1 species